UGAGGAUGCUUCUUCGGGUUUCAGGCUGGAGCCAUCUGAAUGUCACAAUACAAGACCUGACAACCAUGACCAGCAACAGACGUGGGCCACAUGGGUCUGGGACUUGGAACAAGCUUUGCAUCCACGUGGCAGAGCAAGACUGGGAUUAGGGGACUGCAUGAUGGUCUCUCCACUGAAUAUGGAACAGCUUCCGUUGAAACUGCCUGAUCUGUCCUGGAAAGUAGAAGCAUGGGUGUACACUUGAGGAUGCAUGGGUAGAGAGUCCAGGCUUGAUAUGGAGCAUGGCGUGUCAUUUCAAGGGCAAGCGGAUUUCCCUUUAUGUGAGGAGGAGAAACUGAAGAAUAGUGUGAGAAGGGGCUCAGGGUUUGCUGUCACAGCAGUGGAACCGUUCUGUGUCCACAGAGAGGAUUCCAUGAGGCUGCCUCUGACCACUCACACGGCGACCACGGCGUGCACAUAGGAGGCCUCCCCUCUAAGUUUGUGCAGCAUGGUCCCCUAGAACACGCCACUCAAUAGCAAGACCUCUGAGAGGAAUUUGUCACCCAGGCCAAGAAUAAAGCAUUCACUAUAUAUUAUGUGUUGAACUAUGUGAACUAAGGUACUGAAGUCUCGAGGCCCCCGUAUCUGUGGAUGUGAUCUCAUUAGGAACCACUCUUUGGAGAUGAUCUGAUGGCGAUGCGACCUAGGAGGACCCGUCCCCCAGUGUGACUCAGUCCUUCUGUUAGGAGAAGGACGCACAGGAACAUGCUUAUGAGUGGGAAGGAUGAAAUGAACAGCAGAGUGGACAUUCUGAUGCUCGCAGACACGUUCAGCUCGUGCUGCACAUGUGGAUCUCAAGCUAUAUCCAAGGAGACUCCGGGGUCUAAAGACUGGAACCUCGGCAGGGGCCCGGGGCGGCUUGGCUUUAACUUCACUUGCGCUGUCGAUGCUGGCACACAGUGUCCCCGCUCUGUGAGCUUGCUUCCUUCCUCUUCCCAGCUUUGGCUUUCCUGUGUGUCUAGCUAAGUUUCUUUAUCUUUCCACGCUAUUUGGGGAAAGCUGUUUUGUGUCUAAGCAGUACUCUUUUGAAGCUGUUCAAGACCUUCAGAUCUUGCUGGUUCUUGCAUGCAAGCAUAGGGUGCAACCCUUGAGUUUUGUUGUGUCCUUGGACUCCAACUAGGGACGGGGAAGGGAGGUCCCAUAAAGCUAGCCCUGCCUUUGACUCCCGAGGCCUGUAUAAAGAAUGCUGGUUCCCUCUCUGGUCUGCCUCGGAGUGGACACCGGACUCCCUUUGCUUCCUCACUUUUUUUCCCCUCUUGUGAUUUUGGGGGGGUUCAUUUCCUUUUCUGGAAUGCAGGGAGGGAGGGUCCUGGCAUGUUGCCAUUUCUAGAUGUGUAUAGCAGACCAUUUUAAGAAACCCUGGAUGCCAAAUGCCACAGGUGUUCAUCUAUGCAAGAUGAAGGAGUCUCUCCAAUCCUCCCAUAUCUGUAAAUCUCUCUCUACAUCAUUUAUAAAAACUAAUGCAAUCCAGAUGCUGUGGAAAUUGUUGGACUCUUCAGUGAAUAACGAUUGGACAGAAGUCUGGAUAUGUCCAGGACAGAUACAAUUGAGACAUUCACACUUGAUUGAAUUGUCCAUUAAGAGGCCAGCUCUACAGGGAAUAAUUUGUUGACUUUUGAGAUCUCAAAUCCAAUGGUGACUUCUGUGUGCUGUGCUAACAAACUUUUCCUCCACAUAAAAAAGUGGAUCUCUUUCUAAUCUGAACAGCAAAAGUGGUCCUGACGUCUUGUGGAAACAUUUCUGUUGAGAUACAAACCUUUCAUCUUGGAGGGAAGUUCUAAGACACUGGAUGUUCUGAGGGGCAGUAGAACCUUUCAGCCUUCAAGCCUGCUGCUCAGGAAGUAAGCAGCCCUAAGGCACUAGGAAGUCACCGGCUUUACCAGAUAUACUAGCCUUCCCCCAAGCCUAUAUCAGAUGUAAAGACUGCUGAACCGCCUAGAAGAGGCCCAGACCAACUGACCUCCCUGGAAAAGAUGCCUUCCAAGCUGCAAGCCACCUGCAGGCGGCUGUGCAGUGAGCUCCAGGUUCCCAGGUUUGGUGAGCUGUCAGGUGAGCUGGGGUGGGCCUUGGCCAUGGAGAUGUCACUGAGGCAUUCUUGUUCCUCUGAGGGGUUACCUCCUGUACUCCUGUAAGUAGCCCCAGUAAAAUGCAAUGGUUCACCCAGUUGGGUUUUGGUGGUAUCCUUACUUCAGUCUGUGGUUGGCUCUCUGUCUGUGUGGAGCAGACAUUUAUUCAUGUCUUCUGGGGACAGUGUCACAUAAUGUGAGGAAGCAUUGGGAAUGAAAUGUUCUUGCAGUAACCCAGAAAAAGGUAUUCUUUGUCUUUGACAAGUGUGUUGCUACGACGACUAGGACAUUAAAAUACUUGAAAUGCCACAUUGUUGGGAGAACAAAGAGCACAGGCCAUCCAGUGUAGACAUGCAUGGAGAAGGUAAUGAUGCUUUCAGAUUUCGCUGGCUCGUUAUUUUCAUUGCUGAGAUGGAGUAAAUAAUUGUGGGAAAUGCAAUGCCACAGAAAGGCUAGCCAUUAGAAAACAAAGCUGAGUUUGGAUCAGGGCGAAACUAUUCAGUCUUGACCUACAGCCUCCCGGCACUUCUUGGCCCUCUACAGAAUGAUAAUAAAAAUGUUUGCUGAACAUUU